GAUGAAGAACGUAGCGAAAUGCGAUAAGUAAUGUGAAUUGGAGAAUUCAGUGAAUCAUCGAAUCUUUGAACGCACCUUGCGCCCUUUGGCCAUUCCGAAGGGCAUGCCUGUUUGAGUAUCAUGAACACCUCAACUCUUUAUGGUUUUCCAUGAUGAGCUUGGACUCUGGGGGUUUUGCUGGCUCACAGUCGGCUCCUCUAAAAUGAAUCAGCUUACCAGUGUUUGGUGGGUAUCAUGGGUGUGAUAACUAUCUACGCUUGUGGUUUUUCCACCAGGUAACCUUCAGCAGUGGAGGUUCGCUGGAGCUCAUAGAUGUCUCUCCUCAGUGAGGACAGCCCUUUGAAUGUUUGAUCUCAAAUCAGGUAGGACUACCCGCUGAACUUAAGCAUAUCAAUAAGCGGAGGA
rnacentral:misc_RNA from 1 species